rnacentral:rRNA from 1 species
GACGAACGCUGGCGGCGUGCUUAACACAUGCAAGUCGAACGGAAAGGCCCUGCUUGCAGGGUGCUCGAGUGGCGAACGGGUGAGUAACACGUGGGUGAUCUGCCCCUUACUUUGGGAUAAGCCUGGGAAACUGGGUCUAAUACUGGAUAGGACCAUGCUGUAGGUGGUGUGGUGGAAAGAUUAGUUUCGGUAAGGGAUGAGCUCGCGGCCUAUCAGCUUGUUGGUGGGGUAAUGGCCUACCAAGGCGUCGACGGGUAGCCGGCCUGAGAGGGUGGACGGCCACAUUGGGACUGAGAUACGGCCCAGACUCCGACGGGAGGCAGCAGUGGGGAAUAUUGCACAAUGGGCGCAAGCCUGAUGCAGCGACGCCGCGUGGGGGAUGACGGCCUUCGGGUUGUAAACUCCUUUCAGCCAUGACGAAGCCCUUGUGGUGACGGUAGUGGUAGAAGAAGCACCGGCUAACUACGU